rnacentral:rRNA from 1 species
GGACUACUGGGGUAUCUAAUCCUGUUUGCUCCCCACGCUUUCGUGCAUGAGCGUCAGUGUUAUCCCAGGGGGCUGCCUUCGCCAUCGGUAUUCCUCCACAUCUCUACGCAUUUCACUGCUACACGUGGAAUUCUACCCCCCUCUGACACACUCUAGCCUCGCAGUCUCAACUGCCAUUCCCAGGUUAAGCCCGGGGAUUUCACAGCUGACUUACGAAACCGCCUGCGCACGCUUUACGCCCAGUAAUUCCGAUUAACGCUUGCACCCUACGUAUUACCGCGGCUGCUGGCAC